CCAACACUUGGGUGGUCAUUCAUCAUUGUAUGUGCUACUGCCAACAUCCCAGAGGCAAGAGGGAAGCAGAACUGGUCAAACAGCAGCAAGCGCUAAGCUGUGAUAGAUCGGAGAAGAGGGAGAUUUCUUCUGAAUGCAAACAGUCUCUUUGCACAGGAUGUAAAUUAUUAUUACAAUGAAAGCAGCCAGAAGGACAGAAGCUUGGAAAUGAUUUCUCCUCUGAGCAGUAGGAGAUUGUUUGGGUCCUGCUGUUUUGAAAACCUUCUUCCCCCCACGCAGGCUACCCUGCAAAGAGAAAGCUGUUUGAAUAUUUUGGCAAUCAGAGAAGGCCCCAAUAUAAAUUAUGGAUACGAAAACUCAAAAGAUACUCUAACAAAUAGAAUACUAUGGAAUCCAUUUUUCAGCCACCAUAUGGUGUCAACAGAAUGCCACUUUGUUUCUUCGGGGUAACAGAUCAUAAUUAAAAAAAAAAAAAAAAAAAA